rnacentral:misc_RNA from 1 species
CAAGAAGCCGAAAGGCUACUAAAACCAUCGCGAACUUAUCCCAUAGUUGCUUCGGCGGCGCGCUCCCUCACGGGGGACCGCAGCCCCCGCCUCCAGGAGGUAAGGGGCAGCGCGGAGGUACGAAACUCUGUAUUAUAGUGGUAUCUCUGAGUAUAAAACAAAUAAGUUAA